rnacentral:rRNA from 1 species
AAGUAUCAAAGCUCCGGCGGUACAGGAUGGACCCGCGUCUGAUUAGCUAGUUGGUGAGGUAACGGCUCACCAAGGCGACGAUCAGUAGCCGACCUGAGAGGGUGAUCGGCCACAUUGGAACUGAGACACGGUCCAAACUCCUACGGGAGGCAGCAGUGGGGAAUAUUGCACAAUGGGCGAAAGCCUGAUGCAGCAACGCCGCGUGAGCGAAGAAGGCCUUCGGGUCGUAAAGCUCGUCCUCAAGGAAGAUAAUGA